GAGAGAGAGAGAGAGAGAGGUUUUAGCCAAGAAGACUCCUCCUGCCAGUGGACUGAAGAAAAAAACUUUGGCUUACAGUCUUCCAACAUUUAAGAGCUCCUCUGGUCUUCACUCUUUUACUUCGCUCCAGUGGGAGUUAGCCAGGUUUGGACCGAGGAAUUACCAAAUGGACCACUGUAUUUAAACAGGCGGACUUUAGGACACGGGAUGGGGUGCGGAGAGUACCUGCUUCGAACUUGGCGGUGCUGAACAGGAGGCAACUUUUCUUGUUUCACAGGUUGGCUGAAUUACUCCCCAAGUGACAAUAAAGUGCGAGAAUUCAGGGUCUCACUGUUGCCAUCUAUCACUCUAAUUGGUGCGGGAAGGAAAACACAAACAGAGCAGCGCGAGCUGAGACAGAGGGCUCCUUUCAGCCCCCUCGACAGGCGCUGCUCCUGGGCUCAGCCUGUAAUGUUUUCCAAACGGUGUGUGGAGCUGGCCAGCAUGAGAGUGAGACCUGUGUCAGAACAGGAAAGGGAAGCUAUUCCUAUCAAGUAACUGGUCAGCCGUGGCUGGAGGACAAGGAGGCCGUUGUCCUGGAGGCCAGCUAGGCUUUUUCCACUGCUCAUUCCUGUAGACACGUUGAGUGCAAAGCAAUGCACUGGUGCCUUUGGGAACAUGGUAAAUUUGGUACAAGAAGAAAUCUACAUUCACUAACCAAAAAAACUGCACUUUUCAAUACUGAAAGACUAUCAGACUAUCAGACCCUUGCCCUAUUCAUUGUACCAAAGUAAAUGCCGCAUUUACCCAUAUACUGUCCCAAGAUUGAAAUUUGUACCACCCAAAUAAAAAAGCGUUCCUGGCACAAUUCUGUUGCAUCUGCACUUGGACAUGAAUGUUGAAGUUUCAGGUUUGUAGUCUCUCAUCACCUUUCUGAAAUGUUUUCUCAUGUCUGUCUGCAGCCCAGCAGUGUUGUGCUCUAUAUGCUGUUCCCCAGUGAAACUACAUCAACAGCAAACUCCAUUCAUGGCUUCUUUCUGCACGGCCCCCACAGAACCAGAACUUUAUCAGGGGAAACUUCCCUGUUAGAUAAUCCCACCAGCUCAGCUAAUCUAGGAGUGGGGGGUUGUACUGUACACAUGGAAAACUUGAAAUUCCAACAAGUGAUAAUGCUGUGUGCUCUGCAAAGAAAGAAAGAGACGAAAAAGGCAAUGGCCUUAAACUGGGGUGACUCAGACUGUCUGAGAGCAUUCGAUGCUACCUGGAGCCCUCUUUGAAGAUGACAUCAUGUCGUCCGUCCUUGAGUUUCUCCAGAAGCAGUAAUGCUAUGCCUGGGCCCGUUUCAGGAAACAUUGCAGUGUACCAUCACAUGACAGAGAACUGGACUGCACUGCUUCUACCUGGAGAAACACACGGGCAUGAAGCACAGGCCGUCAGCACUAUGCAAAAAUGGAAGGGAAGAAAUGGAAUCGUCCUCAAAGGUCACGCGGCAUUCAAAACCUUUGUGCAGCAACCUGUUUUAAAAAAAAAAAUCAUAAUUAGAUAUGGGAAUUAUGUGUAAUUACAUCAUUAGCGAUGUAACAUUGAGAAUGCAGUGGUCCUAUAUAUAAUAACACAAAUAAGGGGGACUGCGAUGGUAUG